GAGUUUAACUGUGUGGGAGCUAUUUUUCCCAUGGCCCGGUAAAUUGUCUUGUAAUGUCAUAAAACUCACGUAAAUCAUAAAAUAAUGUUUUCAGUGAUUGAUAUAAUGGUUCGUAGGAGAUUUGGAGUUAAACCUUGACUAUUAUAACCGAUAUAAGAUGUGGGUGGAAUAUAUCCCUUGGCCUGAUCAAGAAUAUAAUAAGACAAAAUCUAGUAUGACAGUUCAUUACUUAGACAGGCGAUGGGAUAACCGUAACCCA